UUUUAAAAUGAUUAUAUUUAAACUACAGAUAAUUCUGAAACCAAACACGUAGUGUGUUUCAAGAUUAAAAAGUUCAGUCAUAUCGCAAGCCUAUUAUCGAAGAGCUUUCACCUAAAACACUUCAAAUGAAAAUCUGGGAACGUCUGGAAUAACAGUUUCGAAAAUUAAACUGCAACCUUCAUCGACGAUUUCGGAAUCUUAUACAUAUGUUUGGGGCAAUGGAGGAAAUUUACAAAGCA